rnacentral:rRNA from 1 species
UACAGAGGGGGCGAGCGUUGUUCGGAAUUACUGGGCGUAAAGGGCGCGUAGGCGGCCUUCUAAGUCGAACGUGAAAUCCCUCGGCUUAACCGGGGAACUGCGUCUGAUACUGGAUGGCUUGAGUUCGGGAGAGGGAUGCGGAAUUCCGGGUGUAGCGGUGGAAUGCGUAGAUAUGCGGAGGAACACCGAUGGCGAAGGCAAUCCCCUGGGCCUGCACUGACGCUCAUGCACGAAAGCGUGGGGAGCAAACAGG